GAUGAACGCUGGCGGCGUGCCUAAUACAUGCAAGUCGAGCGAACGGACGAGAAGCUUGCUUCUCUGAUGUUAGCGGCGGACGGGUGAGUAACACGUGGAUAACCUACCUAUAAGACUGGGAUAACUUCGGGAAACCGGAGCUAAUACCGGAUGAUAUUUUGAACCGCAUGGGUCAAAAGUGAAAGACGGUCUUGCUGUCACUUAUAGAUUGAUCCGCGCUGCAUUAGCUAGUUGGUAAGGUAACGGCUUACCAAGGCAACGAUGCAUAGCCGACCUGAGAGGGUCAUCGGCCACACUGGAACUGAGACACGGUCCAGACUCCUACGGGAGGCAGCAGUAGGGACUCUUCCGCAAUGGGCGAAAGCCUGACGGAGCAACGCCGCGUGAGUGAUGAAGGUCUUCGGAUCGUAAAACUCUGUUAUUAGGGAAGAACAUAUGUGUAAGUAACUGUGCACAUCUUGACGGUACCUAAUCAGAAAGCCACGGCUAACUACGUG
rnacentral:rRNA from 1 species